rnacentral:rRNA from 1 species
CAGCAGUCGCCGCGGUAAAACGGAGGGUGCAAGCGUUGUCCGGAUUUAUUGGGUUUAAAGGGUGCGUAGGCGGCCUAAUAAGUCAGUGGUGAAAGCCUCCAGCUUAACUGGAGAACUGCCAUUGAUACUGUUAGGCUUGAGUAUACUUGAGGUAGGCGGAAUUGACAGUGUAGCGGUGAAAUGCAUAGAUAUUGUCAAGAACACCAAUUGCGAAGGCAGCUUACUAAAUUAUAACUGACGCUGAGGCACGAAAGUGUGGGUAUCAAACAGGAUUAGAUACCCCCGUAGUCCCUGUCUCUUAUAC